rnacentral:rRNA from 1 species
GAUGAACGCUGGCGGCGUGCCUAAUACAUGCAAGUCGAGCGAACAGACGAGGAGCUUGCUCCUCUGACGUUAGCGGCGGACGGGUGAGUAACACGUGGAUAACCUACCUAUAAGACUGGGAUAACUUCGGGAAACCGGAGCUAAUACCGGAUAAUAUAUUGAACCGCAUGGUUCAAUAGUGAAAGACGGUGUUGCUGUCACUUAUAGAUGGAUCCGCGCCGCAUUAGCUAGUUGGUAAGGUAACGGCUUACCAAGGCAACGAUGCGUAGCCGACCUGAGAGGGUGAUCGGCCACACUGGGACUGAGACACGGUCCAGACUCCUACGGGAGGCAGCAGUAGGGAAUCUUCCGCAAUGGGCGAAAGCCUGACGGAGCAACGCCGCGUGAGUGAUGAAGGUCUUCGGAUCGUAAAACUCUGUUAUUAGGGAAGAACAAAUGUGUAAGUAACUAUGCACGUCUUGACGGUACCUAAUCAGAAAGCCACGGCUAACUACGUG